rnacentral:ncRNA from 2 species
GGUCAUGAGCACCAGCGCCAAGCCCCGGCUCGCUGGUCGGCAACCCUCCUCCGCGGCGGGGUGCUCCGGGUGACGACCUGGCCGUACCGAAGACGGUGCGGCAAGUGCGGAUU